GGGUUAGUAGGUUGGUCAUGCCUCCGGUAUGUACUGAUCUCACUGAUUCCUCCUUCCUUAUGAACCGUAAUGCCAUUAAUUUGGUGUUGCGGGGAAUUUGGACUGUUACUUUGAAAAAAUUAGAGUGUUUAAAGCAGGCUAACGCUUGAAUACAUUAGCAUGGAAUAAUGAAAUAGGACGUUCGAUCUUAUUUUGUUGGUUUCUAGGAUUGACGUA
rnacentral:rRNA from 3 species